AUACAUCAGACAUUAUUACUGCUCAACAUUAAAAACAAAUAUUACUACACUACCAGCAAGAAGAUAUAUUUCAGGAGGCAUUUAUAUGAUACAACAGAAUGAAUUAAAACAACUUGCUUCUGUCGGUGUGUGUGUCAGAGAGAGAGAGAGAGAGAGAGAGAGAGAGAGAGAGAGAGGG